rnacentral:rRNA from 1 species
GGGGUGCAGCAGCGCGAAACUUUGCAAUACACGAAAUGUGACAGGGCUAUCCCGAGUGCCAUCCGCUGAGGAAGGCUUUUACCCAGUCUAGAACGCUGGGGGAAUAAGGAGAGGGCAAGUCUGGUGUCAGCCGCCGCGGUAAUACCAGCUCUCCGAGUGGUGUGGAUGUUUAUUGGGCCUAAAGCAUCCGUAGCUGGCUAGGUUAGUCCCCUGUUAAAUCCACCGAAUUAAUCGUUGGAUUGCGGGGGAUACUGCUUGGCUAGGGGACGAGAGAGGCAGACGGUAUUUCCGGGGUAGGGUGAAAUCCUAUAAUCCCGGGAGGACACCAGUGGCGAGGCUGUUGCUAGAACGCCCCAACGUGAGGGAGAAGCUGGGGGACGACCGGAUAGAUACCCGUAGUCCACUGUAAACGAUGCAAAUAGGUGUUUUGAACGGCCCCCUGCCCGUUCUAGUGCCCGCAGGGAACCUGUUAAAUUCUGCCCCCCGGGGGAGUACCAACCCCAAAAAUGGAAACUUUAAGGGAAUUGGGGGGGGGGAAGCCCCCCCAAGGGGGGGGAAGCCUUGGGGGUUUAAUUGGAAAUCCAACCCCGGAAAACCCCCCCCGGGAAACCGA